rnacentral:rRNA from 1 species
UACGGAGGGUGCGAGCGUUGUCCGGAAUCACUGGGCGUAAAGGGCGCGUAGGCGGCGCGGCAAGUGUGGGGUGAAAGUCCGGGGCUCAACCCCGGAUCGGCCUCGCAAACUGCCGGGCUGGAGCACUGUAGAGGUGGGUGGAAUUCCGGGUGUAGCGGUGGAAUGCGUAGAGAUCCGGAAGAACACCGGUGGCGAAGGCGGCCCGCUGGGUAGUGGCUGACGCUGAGGCGCGACAGCGUGGGGAGCAAACAGG